rnacentral:rRNA from 1 species
CAGGCCUAACACAUGCAAGUCGAACGGUGGCAGCAAUGUCAUAGUGGCGCACGGGUGCGUAACACGUAGCUAACCUACCCAGAACUGGGGGAUAGCCCGCCGAAAGGCGGAUUAACACCGCAUAACAUCUACUGGUGGCAUCAUUAGUUGAUUAAAUCUACGGAGGUUCUGGAUGGGGCUGCGGGUCAUUAGCUAGUUGGUAAGGUAACGGCUUACCAAGGCGACGAUGACUAGGGGAGCUGAGAGGUUGGUCCCCCACACGGGCACUGAGAUACGGGCCCGACUCAUACGGGAGGCAGCAGUAGGGAAUAUUGGGCAAUGGGCGAGAGCCUGACCCAGCCAUGCCGCGUGCAGGAAGAAGGCUUUCUGAGUCGUAAACUGCUUUUGACAGGGAAGAAUAAGCUGAACGUGUUCCAGUGAUGACGGUACCUGCAGAAUAAGCACCGGCUAACUCCGAGCCAGCAGCCGCGGUAAU